AGGACAGACCAAAAACGCAGCCUCUCCUACCGACGGUGAUAACGCAUCUUCUCCCUGGCUCGUGUCUUGUCACCGGAAGUCCGCACCGGUGAACUCCCAGCAGCGCAUUCUGGUCGUCCGGCGCAUUUUGACGGCACCGCAUCAAGUCCACCUGCGAGAAACCCCAGUGCAACCUAGCAGCGGCUGAGCUCUGUGCCGCUGCAACACCGCCUCUGCUACUCCUCUCUUUUCAUUCUUCCCCUUUCACCAACGCAGGCAUUCCGUCGCAGCCGGCUUGCGUCUUCCUUGCGACAUCGGCAUUCGCAAGUUAGAGGGAUUACAAGUGGAGUCAGGCUUGAGACGUCCAUCACGCCACGGAAGAGCAUAAAUGGAGUUGAAUUUCAUUCAACCGGUAUGUGGUGUUCUAUUGGCCGUCAGUAACGAAAAUUCAUCAAAUUCACAUAACAAUGAUCCCAACCAUUGCGUAAAAGAGGGUGAGGAAUCCAACAAGCAGGUGGUUCCUCUGGAGGCCUCUCAAAAUAUGGAAUUUGGUGCUCCGGUUUGCCGGCAUGAGCGCCAACAAGCUGGUAGCUGCAUGUCUUUGUUAAGCUCAUUCGGCAGCAGUUAGAAUCUGUUGGAAAUGGUUUCGAGUACCUUUAAUAUUUUUCUUCAUGGAUAUAGGAUUUCAAUAGUUAUUCAUU